rnacentral:tRNA from 1 species
GAGAAAGUCAUAGUGGCUAUGGGGUUGGCUUGAAACCAGUCGGAGAGGGUUCGAUUCCUUCCUUUCUUA